CACACCUCUGAAUCACAAGUCAAUCUCCCCAGUCGCUCAUACCUCUGGAAACAUCUGCAGCCUCCAAGUCAGGCAUCAUCUCGGAGAGACCCGGGAGUUUUCUUCUUUUUUGGAGAGGUUUUUUUUUGCUGGUGGCGCUCAUGCACACUGACUGGUAGAGCUAUACACCAAAAAGAGAGCAGGAGCUGGGAAGGUGUAGUUGCAUUCCGACGCUCAGCAUUGUCGCCUCACCUGCAGGAGGUCCGCUGUGUGUAAUAAUGCAUACAGAGAAGUACUUACCUGAACUGGUGGCCGAGAAAAGCGGCUUGGACCCCUCCUUUGUGCAUGCGGUGCGCCUGCUUGCAGAAGAGAUUGAAAAGAAUGAAGGUGAUGAAUUGAGAAAAGAUGGUGACACGAAGAAAUACCUAGAUAUCAUCAGCAAUAAAAAUAUCAAGCUCUCCGAAAGAGUUCUCAUUCCAAUCCAACAGUAUCCAAAGUUUAAUUUUGUCGGGAAGCUGCUGGGACCACGGGGAAAUUCCAUGAAACGAUUACAAGAGGAGACGGGAGUGAAGAUGUCCAUCCUCGGCAAAGGGUCCAUGAGGGAUAAAGGCAAGGAAGAAGAGUUAAGGAAAAGCGGCGAGGCCAAAUACGCCCAUCUGAGUAAUGAUCUUCAUGUUUUAAUUGAAGUCUUCGCUCCACCUGGAGAGGCCUAUUCCCGCAUGAGUCACGCCUUGGAGGAGAUUAAAAAAUUCCUAGUUCCAGACUACAACGACGAGAUCAGACAGGAGCAACUGAGAGAGCUCUCCCUGCUGAACGGCUCCGACGAGUCGAGCAGAGGGAGGAGUGCGCCAGGAAGGAGUGCACGACCAGCGACCACAAUAUCCACGGGGGGCAACAGAGGCACAGGAAGGAGCGCAGCGGCGCCUCGGGGGACGGCGGCAGCGACGCACAGCAAACUUCCCACGACUGCUUUAACGAGGGAGGUACAAGCCCCGAGAGCCAGGGGGGCAGCAGGGAGCGCAGGAUACAGACCCCCGCUGUUAGGAGUCACACAUGAAUCAUACGACGACUAUGGCUACGAUGAUGGGUAUGGUGGAGAAUAUGAUGACGAGAGUUACGAAGCCUAUGAGGAUAACUACAGCAAUCAGUCAAAGAGCAUUUCAGAUUAUUAUGAAUAUGGACACAGUGAUGAACCCUACAACAACUAUGAGGAGGAGUGGGCGACAACCCGUCCCAGUCUCAAAGCCCCAGUUUUACGGCUGACGAGAGGGGGCUACAGGAAACAUCCCUAUGGUAGAUACUGAAGUUAAAGAAACACACUAUUGUGUGAUUUGGUCAAAGCAGAGACGAAUGUAACAGAGCAGAAGGCACGGGAAUCUGCUCCCAGAGGACUGAAGACUGUACUCAGCCAUCAGACAUGUUCGAGCCCUUCAUCAGUCAGGAAAGUAGCUCGAGAUGAGAGGAAAGAUGAUGGAACAGGAAACAUGACGGCAAAGACAAAUGACUCACAGGUUGUUGAGUGUUAUGAAGACAACAACGAGUCCCAUUUCUGAUACACAAUAAAAUUUUAACAUUGUGCUAAAGAAUAGAAGUGUUACAUUCUUUUGACACAUGUAAAAAUGUCUUACGGUUAGCACAUUUUCAUUUCAACCAUAAUCUACACCAGGUGACAUUCUAUAGAAAUGUGUUUUUUUUAGCUUAAUGUCACUUCUGUUCGGCUUUAUCAUAACAAUAUUUUGUAUUUUGUGUCGGAUGUUACGGCCUAAAGUAAAAGCACUUAACAUUAGAAAUAUACUCUAUAAGCAAAUCUCGACGUGACUGCACUUUUUUUUUAAUGGUGUUGUCAUCUGGCGGCUGCUGUCAUUACCAACCCGAGUGCACCCUGUGUCUGUUCCCAGCUCACUAAUAAAUGGUUCACUUAGUGCUGCCAACAUGAACAUGUUAGUUCAUUAAACAAGUCGAGCCCACUGCUGCCGUUCUGGCCAACUGUCACAGCUACUUUACGAGCCCAACCCGUCAGAGCCGACGGAAUAUACUUCAACAGCCAGACGCGGCUCACACCUCGUGGCAUUUUCCGAGUGGUAGUCACAAUGAACGGCGCCGUCUGCCUGCAGCUCUAUAUAAGGUACGCAGUGAUUAACAAGUGAGAUUGAUGGAAGCAAUACAACCGUUCAAAUUAAUGUGCAUGAAUGUCUUCUUUCUGAAUUUGUUUGUUCAUAUCUAAUAUACAAAACAAUAAAUCGCUAGCCUCGUAAAACCAGGCGUGUCUUAGCUUCUCGCAAAACAUGAACAACUCACAGAGUCCGAUUCCAUGCAGAUGAUCAUCCAUUGCUUAUCUUUUUUGGGUGAAAAAGGGAUUUUAAAGAAUCUGCUCAAUUGUGGAGCAGACUCAUUUCAUCAAAAAACACCCAUCCCUGAAUCUGGCAUUUUGUUUAAUUCAUCCGCUCCAUUACGUACACUCCACACAGGCUGUCAAACAGCGUAGCGUUUAUCUUCCUCAAUAUCACUUGAUCUAAAUAUUUGAAACACAAAGACACCAAAGUGGGUCAGGAGCUAGGCGAGUACCCAGAAAUGUUCAAUCAUGCAAAACAGUGCAUGGCUAUAACUCUAACACACAGUAUUUCCCCCAGCCAGGGACGGGUACCUGAGCAAACUCAGCUCUGUUUAGACAGCUGCUUGAUGAGCCAGAAUAGAAAAUGAGGGUUUAUAAUCACGUCUAAAAAAGGGGCCUCUUCACCGGCACAGCACUCGUGAUGAAAUGGUGUGCAGAGACAGAGUCCUUGACGUGUUUUGAUGAUUUUCAUGUUGUUCCCCUUGCGACAGCAGGCUGGGAUCUAAGCCAGGUGACAGCAGGUGAGGAUGUAUAGCUUGAGCUGCAGUUUUGAGGAAGUUCUACUGUAGACACACUACUACACUGUAUCUGAUCUUAGCUCCCUUUUGCAGGAUAAAGCCGGCCCCCUCCAGCUCAUUAGAGCUAUUUUUGGAGAGAAGAUAAGUUUUGACAUGUUGUGUUGCUUUGUGCGUGUGGAUGAACUAAGCAGCGAGUGAACUGGGUUAACUAUGUUUACUGAUGAAGUCUAGUACACAAAACGUCUACACAAAUAUAGAGCUGGUUUGACGCGCAAGAUUUGUUUUUGGGGAAAUGUUUUGCAGGAUGUAGCUUUCCCUGGAACAUUUGUAACAAGAUUACAGCCUAUUUUAAAAAAAAAAAAAAAAAAGCAUGUCCCCCAAGAAAUACAAUAUUCCACCGGAAAAAGAUAAAAUUGACCCAUUAUCAUAACUGUUUGGUCUCAAGGUGUGAUUUGCAGGAGUCUCUCUCAAGGAAAAGCAAACCAAUUCUCUCUGAAUAAUGUCUUCAAACAGUGGAGUCGGAGUCUGUUUCCAUUGAGAGUGUUUUCAUGCAUAAUGCAGAUACAAGCUGCUAAAUACAUCUCCAUAUUCAGAUUACAAACAGCUAUUUAUGAAUAAACAUAAUAUGCUUAAUAAUGAGCUUCAUGCAGAAGUGAACAGGAUAAGAUGUUUAUAUGCCACAGUAUCCUUGCUAAUGACGGUAGAAGAUCCAUAGCUUCUGUAUGUUUUCCACCAAAUCUGAAUAGGAUUUAGUGUGAUAUUAGUGCUACCUAUAGUUAGGGGUGUUAGAAAACCUAAGGAAUCCAUUGGUAACAACCAUGUCAUAGUAGCUUGUUGCGGAGGAGGCAAAAUAACGCU